CAGUCGCCGCGGUAAUACGAAAGGUCCAAGCGUUACUCGGAAUUACUGGGCGUAAAGCGCGCGUAGGCGGUCUUGUAUGUCGAUUGUGAAAGCCCCGGGCUCAACCUGGGAACUGCAGUCGAAACUGCAAGACUUGAAUGUUGGAGAGGUUGGGGGAAUACCUAGUGGAGAAGUGAAAUUCGUAGAGAUUAGGUGGAACACCAGAGGCGAAGGCGCCUGACUGGCCAAACAUUGACGCUAAGGCGCGAAAGCGUGGGUAGCAAACAGGAUUAGAGACCCCAGUAGUCCCUGUCUCUUAUAC
rnacentral:rRNA from 1 species